rnacentral:rRNA from 1 species
GUCUGAACCAGCCAUGCCGCGUGAAGGAUGAAAGCCCUCUGGGUUGUAAACUUCUUUUAUCUGGGAAGAAACCACCUUUUUCUAAGGGUGUUGACGGUACCAGAGGAAUAAGCACCGGCUAACUCCGUGCCAGCAGCCGCGGUAAUACGGAGGGUGCAAGCGUUAUCCGGAUUCACUGGGUUUAAAGGGUGCGUAGGCGGAUUCUUAAGUCCGUGGUGAAAUCUCCAAGCUUAACUUGGAAACUGCCAUGGAUACUAUUAGUCUUGAAUGUUGUGGAGGUUAGCGGAAUAUGUCAUGUAGCGGUGAAAUGCAUAGAUAUGACAUAGAACACCAAUUGCGAAGGCAGCUGGCUACACAAAUAUUGACGCUGAGGCACGAAAGCGUGGGGAUCAAACAGGAUUAGAUACCCUGGUAGUCCACGCCCUAAACGAUGAUUACUCGACAUUUGCGAUACACAGCAAGUGUCUGAGCGAAAGCAUUAAGUAAUCCACCUGGGAAGUACGACCGCAAGGUUGAAACUCAAAGGA